GAGUUUGAUCGUGGCUCAGAACAAACGCUGGCGGCGUGCCUAAUACAUGCAAGUCGAACGAGGAAAGCUUUCGGGUGAGUACUAGUGGCGCACGGGUGAGGAAUAUAUGGGUAAUCUGCCCUCGAGUCGGGGAUAACCAGUCGAAAGAUUGGCUAAUACCGGAUAAGACCACAGGAUCUGCGGAUCUAGGGGUUAAAGGUUUUUCGCUUGAGGAUGAGCCCAUAUGGGAUUAGCUAGUUGGUAGGGUAAUGGCCUACCAAGGCUACGAUCCCUAACUGGUCUUAGAGGAUGAUCAGUCACACUGGAACUGAGACACGGCCCAGACUCCUACGGGAGGCAGCAGUGGGGAAUAUUGGACAAUGGGCGCAAGCCUGAUCCAGCCAUGCCGCGUGAGUGAUGAAGGCCUUAGGGUUGUAAAGCUCUUUUACCAGGGAAGAUAAUGACGGUACCUGGAGAAUAAAGCCCCGGCUAACUUCGUGCCAGCCGCCGCAGU
rnacentral:rRNA from 1 species